rnacentral:lncRNA from 1 species
AGUUCUCCUGAGGAGGGUAAUAGCAAAUACUAUUCUAGAUGCCAAAGUGUGCUGUGCUAAGUUGCUUCAGUCAUGUCCAGCUCUUUGAGGCCCUAUGGACUAUAACCCACCAGGCUUCUCUGUCCUAGGGAUUUUCCAGGCAAAAAUACUGGAGUGGGUUGCCAUUUCUUUCUCCAGAGAUGCCAAGGAGGUAAGUUAAUUCAUUACAUAAAUGGAUAUCUUAGGCUAUUAAGACUUAGUUUUCUCAUGGCACCCCAGUUAAGAAGACCUGGUAUGGGGAACUGACACGAAGCCUGGCAUUUGCUUUAAAUUACUGGAGUGUGAGAUGGAUAAAACAAGGUUGGCAAAAUACUAAUAAUCUUUGGAUCUGGGUUAUGAAAACAUGGAGGUUCUUUAUGGUGUUUUCUGUCCAUUUUUGUAUGUGUAAAAGCUUCCGUAAUAGUCACUACAAACUUGGUUUUUCAAGAUGAGGAGGAGGUGAAACAGUUCUUUCUCAGGAGGAAAGAGGCCUAUUUUUUAUUUUUUUUCCUCUCUGUGUCUCUGUGGGGUGUGAGUUGGGGUGUAAAGGAAGAGAGGCGGGUCUCUUGCUUGGGAGGAGCGUUGUGUCUGUUCAGCCCUCCUUGCAGGCUCUUUUGUUCCUUCCUCCUCGGCUCACCCCUGACUGAUGGAGGGGAGCAGACUUGUCUUAGCUGAUGGUUUUUGAUCAUCCUGAGAAGAAUGAGCCUUGGCCUCCAGACCCAGUAAAACAGACAUCCAUGGAGAACAGUGUUCGUUCCUGAGGACCUGGAGGGCUUGCAGCCCAGGAGGAUUAGCUAGAAGCAGGUAAGGAACACCUGGAGGAGUGGGAUGUGGAAGCAGCAUGGGGUCCAUACUCUGUUUAGGAGGCACAGUGGAGUGCGCUGGUAAGAAGCCAUAGGGGCUCAAUGUAUGGCUACAGCUUUGCUGUUUUCUUUGUGUUUUUUAUUUAUUUAUUUUUCAGUCCCUAGUGUUGAUAGGUGAUUUGCCUAUUUCUAUAAACUAUAAGAUUUAAAUUUAUUCUGUAAUUCAAUCUACCUUUUUAAAGCACCUAUUCUGGCCAAACCCUGCAUUUGAUACCCAGCAGGUAGUGAUAUAGUGAUAUAGAUGGGUA